rnacentral:rRNA from 1 species
CCUACGGGUGGCAGCAGUGAGGAAUAUUGGUCAAUGGGCGCAAGCCUGAACCAGCCAAGACGCGUGAGGGAUGACGGUCCUAUGGAUUGUAAACCUCUUUUGUCGGGGAGCAAGGCCCGCCACGUGUGGCGGGAAGGAGAGUACCCGAAGAAAAAGCAUCGGCUAACUCCGUGCCAGCAGCCGCGGUAAUACGGAGGAUGCGAGCGUUAUCCGGAUUUAUUGGGGUUAAAGGGUGCGUAGGCGGAAGGUUAAGUCAGCGGUAAAAUGUCGGUGCUCAACACCGGCCUGCCGUUGAAACUGGUCUUCUUGAGUGAGCGAGAAGUAUGCGGAAGGCGUGGUGUAGCGGUGAAAUGCAUAGAUAUCACGCAGAACUCCGAUUGCGAAGGCAGCAUACCGGCGCUCAACUGACGCUGAGGCACGAAAGCGUGGGGAUCGAACAGGAUUAGAUACCCCUGUAGUC